CUAAUACUCCCUCCGUCCGAAAAUACUUGUCAUCAAAAUGGAUAAAAGGGGAUGUAUCUAGAUGUAUUUUAGUUCUAGAUACAUCUCUUUUUAUCCAUUUUGAUGACAUGUAUUCUCGGACGGAGGGAGUAUUAA
rfam:Triticum aestivum genome assembly, contig: Triticum_aestivum_CS42_TGACv1_scaffold_129533_2BL